CCUACGGGAGGCUGCAGUGGGGAAUAUUGGGCAAUGGGCGCAAGCCUGACCCAGCAACGCCGCGUGAAGGAAGAAGGCUUUCGGGUUGUAAACUUCUUUUCUCAGGGACGAAGAAAGUGACGGUACCUGAGGAAUAAGCCACGGCUAACUACGUGCCAGCAGCCGCGGGAAUACGUAGGUGGCAAGCGUUAUCCGGAUUUACUGGGUGUAAAGGUCGUGUAGGCGGGCCUGCAAGUCAGAUGUGAAAACCACGGGCUCAACCUGUGGCCUGCAUUUGAAACUGUAGUUCGUGAGUACUGGAGAGGCAGACGGAAUUCCUAGUGUAGCGGUGAAAUGCGUAGAUAUUAGGAGGAACACCAGGGGCGAAGGCGGUCUGCUGGACAGCAACUGACGCUGAGGCGCGAAAGCGUGGGGAGCAAACAGGAUUAGAUACCCUUGUAGUC
rnacentral:rRNA from 1 species